rfam:Triticum aestivum genome assembly, contig: Triticum_aestivum_CS42_TGACv1_scaffold_474337_6AL
CUUGUACUCCCUCCAUUCCGGAUAACUUGUCUUAGAUUUGUCUAGAUACAAAGGUAUCUAGCACUAAAAUGAGUCUAGAUACAUCCGUAUCUAGACAAAUCCAAGACAAGUAAUUUGGAACGGAGGGAGUAUAUU